CCUACGGGCGGCUGCAGUGAGGAAUAUUGGUCAAUGGGCGAGAGCCUGAACCAGCCAAGUCGCGUGGGGGAGUACUGCCCUAUGGGUUGUAAACCUCUUUUGUCGGGGAGCAAAAGCCGGACGUGUCCGGCUGUGAGAGUAUCCGUAGAAAAAACGUCGGCUAACUCCGUGUCAGCAGCGGCGGUAAUACGGAGGAUGCGAGCGGUAUCCGGAUUUUUUGGGGUUAAAGGGGGCGCAGGCGGAUUGUUAAGUCAGCGGUCAAAUCGUGGGGCUCAAACCCAUCCAGCCGUUGAAACUGGGGAUCUAGAGUGUGCGAGAGGUAUGCGGAAUGCGUGGUGUAGCGGUGAAAUGCAUAGAUAUCACGCAGAACCCCGAUUGCGAAGGCAGCAUACCGGUGCACAACUGACGCUCAGGCACGAAAGCGUGGGUAUCGAACAGGAUUAGAUACCCCGGUAGUC
rnacentral:rRNA from 1 species